CAAAAUAAAAGUUCUUUUAAGUCACAAUCUUCCUUUUUUUCAUUUCCCAGCUUGUAACUCUGUUCAGCGCACCAAACUAUUGUGGUGAAUUUGACAAUGCUGGAGGUAUCAUGUGUGUAUCUGACAACCUUCUAUGUUCUUUUAGUAUCUUGAAGCCACAAACUCUUGAAGUUGCAAUCCAAGAUCCACAUAAACAAGUGGGCAAAAAAGGGAAAGUGAAGCCAACAUAAAACAUUGCAAAUUUUAGGAAAAAAACGGUUUUAUAUAACUUGAGUUGUACAUUGUUGUUCAUAGAGUUCGCACAUUCAAAUUGUACAUUAUAUUUGUAAAGAUAUCAUAUGUCAUGGUUAUUUAAAGGUUGGCAUCCUUUAUUUUGUAUAUUCUGAAAUUGACCAUUUUCAAAAUUAUGUCAAAGCAAGCACGUUUUUAUAGAAACAGCUCUUUCAAAAAGAGAAUAAAAUAUUUAUUUUUGAUGGA